rnacentral:rRNA from 1 species
CCUACGGGAGGCAGCAGUUGGGAAUCUUGGACAAUGGGGGAAACCCUGAUCCAGCCAUGCCGCGUGAGUGAUGAAGGCCUUCGGGUUGUAAAACUCUUUCGACGGGGACGAUAAUGACGGUACCCGUAGAAGAAGCUCCGGCUAACUUCGUGCCAGCAGCCGCGGUAAUACGAAGGGGGCUAGCGUUGUUCGGAAUUACUGGGCGUAAAGCGCGCGCAGGCGGUCUUCCAAGUCAGUGGUGAAAGCCUGGAGCUCAACUCCAGAACUGCCAUUGAAACUGUUAGACUUGAGUACGAGAGAGGUGAGUGGAAUUCCCAGUGUAGAGGUGAAAUUCGUAGAUAUUGGGAAGAACACCAGUGGCGAAGGCGGCUCACUGGCUCGUAACUGACGCUCAGGCGCGACAGCGUGGGGAUCAAACAGGAUUAGAUACCCUGGUAGUCCACGCCGUAAACGAUGAAUGCUAGCCGUUGGUAGCUUGCUAUUCAGUGGCGCAGCUAACGCAUUAAGCAUUCCGCCUGGGAGUACGGCCGCAGUUGAACUUAAAUGAAUUGACGGNUGAGANGCGAGNGNACGAGGAGAG